AGAGUUUGAUCCUGGCUCAGGACGAACGCUGGCGGCGUGCCUAACACAUGCAAGUCGAACGGAUUGGUGUCCUUCGGGACACUAGUUAGUGGCGAACGGGUGAGUAACGCGUGGGUAACCUGCCCUUAUAUCGGGGACAACUGACCGAAAGGUGAGCUAAUACCGGAUAAACUGUCAAGACCGCAUGAUUUUGACAGGAAAGGCGGCCUCUAUUUAUAAGCUGCCGUAAAAGGAUGGACCCGCGUCUGAUUAGCUGGUUGGUGAGGUAACGGCUCACCAAGGCGACGAUCAGUAGCCGGCCUGAGAGGGUGAACGGCCACACUGGGACUGAGACACGGCCCAGACUCCUACGGGAGGCAGCAGUGGGGAAUCUUCCGCAAUGGACGAAAGUCUGACGGAGCAACGCCGCGUGAGUGAAGAAGGUUUUCGGAUUGUAAAACUCUGUCUUUUAGGAAGAACGGCAGAUAUAUGAAUAAUAUAUGUGAUUGACGGUACCAAAGGAGGAAGCCCCGGCUAACUACGUGCCAGCAGCCGCGGUAAUACGUAGGGGGCAAGCGUUGUCCGGAAUUAUUGGGCGUAAAGAGCGCGCAGGCGGCUAUUUAAGUCUACCGUGAAAGCUUACGGCUCAACCGUAACGGGCCGGUGGAUACUGGAUGGCUUGAGGGCAGGAGAGGAAAGUGGAAUUCCCAGUGUAGCGGUGAAAUGCGUAGAGAUUGGGAGGAACACCAGUGGCGAANGCGACUUUCUGGACUGUUACUGACGCUGAGGCGCGAAAGCUGGGGGAGUGAACGGGAUUAGAUACCCUGGUAGUC
rnacentral:rRNA from 1 species